rnacentral:lncRNA from 1 species
GGAAAAGGAGGGAGAGAAAGAAAAUUCAAUGCACCAGGGGAACUGACCAUCAGCUGGAAAUUCUCAGCCUGAGAGUUUGUAGCCCCCUGGAGCUGGGAAGGUCAGCUGAGCCCUCCCCACAACCCCAGCACAUCAGAGGGGGUCUAUGAAUCCUCUAGCUAGGGGGGAAAAGACAAGAGGCAGCAAAGACAGACAGCUAACAAGAAUAGCAUCACCUCCACCUCCACCACCAUUUCUUGGGAGGAGACAUCAUGGAAGCCACUGUUUUCAGUACUUCGUUUCCGGAUUAUGAAUGAAAAUGGUAUCGAUCACCUGGAUGAGGAUCAAAUACAGGGAGAGACAGCGCGACAGUCGAGACUUGCUCUGCAUUUACCUGCAACAAUGCCAACUAGAUUUCCAGCAUUUUAUUGAGACGAGGAGAGAGCUGCUGAAAAAUUAGCAGGGAGUGAGAGUCGUAAAUGAAAAUGAUCCAUCAUUCCUUUUUUUUUUUUUUUUUUACCAAUUUAAGAUGUGUAACAUGCUAAUAAUAUU